CCUACGGGAGGCUGCAGUGGGGGAUAUUGCUCAAUGGGGGGAACCCUGAUGCAGCGACGCCGCGUGGGUGAAGGAGCGUUUCGGCGCGUAAAGCCCUAUCGGCAGGGAAGAAGAUGACGGUACCUGGCCAAGAAGCCCCGGCUAACUACGUGCCAGCAGCCGCGGUAAUACGUAGGGGGCAAGCGUUAUCCGGAUUUACUUGGUGUAAAGGGGGCGCAGACGGCAAUGCAAGCCAGGAGUGAAAGCCCGGGGCCCAACCCCGGGACUGCUCUUGGAACUGCAUGGCUGGAGUACAGGAGGGGCAGGCGGAAUUCCUAGUGUAGCGGUGAAAUGCGUAGAUAUUAGGAGGAACACCGGUGGCGAAGGCGGCCUGCUGGACUGUGACUGACGUUGAGGCCCGAAGGCGUGGGGAGCAAACAGGAUUAGAUACCCGGGUAGUC
rnacentral:rRNA from 1 species